rnacentral:rRNA from 1 species
CAGCAGCCACGGGAAAACGGAGGGAGCUAGCGUUAUUCGGAAUUACUAGGCGUAAAGUGCACGUAGGCGGCUUUGUAAGUUAGAGGUGAAAGCCUGGAGCUCAACUCCAGAAUUGCCUUUAAGACUGCAUCGCUUGAAUCCAGGAGAGGUGAGUGGAAUUCCGAGUGUAGAGGUGAAAUUCGUAGAUAUUCGGAAGAACACCAGUGGCGAAGGCGGCUCACUGGACUGGUAUUGACGCUGAGGUGCGAAAGCGUGGGGAGCAAACAGGAUUAGAUACCCCCGUAGUCCCUGUCUCUUAUAC